CCAAUCCCUCCCUUGUGUUGCUAGGACUCAGUUCAAUUCAGUUCAACCGAUUCGUGUACGUUAAGUCCUGUUUAUAAAAUGUAGUGUAGAUUAUAAAGCAAAAUGAGGACAUGUUUUCCACACCACCGGUUGAGUCUGCUUUGCCUCUUCUUGUCAGAGAUCUUCAGCUCUAUUGGUGACUCUUUAGUUCAGGAGGUGUUCGGUGCUGUAGGCGACUCUGUUACGUUUUCUUUACAUGUUCCUGUUUCUGGGACUAUAAUUUAUAAAGAUGAAACAGUUGGACUGGUGUUUAAUAAUCAAAGUGAGAUAAACGGUGAGACGUUUGUGAAUCGUCUUCAUUGGCACAAUCAGAUUGGGUUCUUCACUCUCUCAGACCUGAGACCAGAUGAUUCAGGACUUUACACAGUUGAGAGCACUAAAGUCCAAAAGGGAAAACAGGAGUAUCAUCUGGAUGUGUACGAGAGAGUUUCAGCUCCUCGAGUGAAGAAGACUUUCAGUUCUUCAGAGUUCUGUUCAUUACUGUGUUCUGUGAGGAACGUCAGAGGACUGAAGCUCGUCUGGUCUGAAGAUCACAUUUUAUUAAACCAAACUAUCAGCAACUCCACAUCAAACACCGCACUGAGUCUACAUCUAGAAAUAAAUAAGACGGACAAAGACAGACAGAGAAACUUUAGCUGUGUGGCUUCCAACCCAGUCAGUAAGGAGACGACUACAUUCAACGUCACAAAAGUCUGCUCUCUGAACAAAGGUACUCAGCCAAACCAUAUUACGAUUCCAGUUGUAGUGUCUGUGAUUUUACUCGUCUGUGUAAUCGUGAUGUUUGUGUAUCUGAAGAAAAGGAAAAAUGAAGCCAGUCGCCGUACAGAAGGCAGACUCCUCUGCAACUGAAGGACUGAAUGAAGAAAUACAGUAUUCUGAGAUAAAUCAUAUUAAACCCACUCAGACAAAUAUACGAGAACAUGCCGAUGAGGAAGUGUGUCAACUAACCACCAUUUACGACCGAAUUAGACCCGAGAGAACGUCAGAGAGCAGCACUCAAUGAAACAGAGUUGAAGGAUGUGAAUAUAUUAUAUAUUUAACACAUUUUUAAAUAUAAUUGUGUUUAUGCAGACGCUCAUCAUUCACAUAAAAGGAAGUUUUCUGCUUAACAGAUGCCUUUUUUGUUUAAUGCCACAGGCAAUAAUAAUUUUCCAUUAAGUUCUCUGAAUUUCGUUACGAACUUCAUUUAUUUAAAUAAACUCCUUAUUCUACUACAAAAAGAGCGUUUGUAUGAUUGUUAUUUCCAGUGUUCUGCUUUUCCAUGUGCGUGUUCUGGCAGUUUGAACAGCAGCUGAAUGUGACAGUGUGCAGCUGUUUCUUUAUCUGAUGUGGUAGUAAAACGCACAGAGAGGCACCACAGGAUGUCAUUAACACCAGGAUAAUGUCUUCAGUUCCUCUUUCAUGCUGUGGGAUUGAGUCCAGGUGGAUUCUGUAAUUCACUGAGAUGAAAUACAGGAGGAGAAUAUAGACAGACACACUGACAGACACACCGACACUGACAGACACACUGACACUGACAGACACACUGACACUGACAGACACACUGACAUGCAGCAGACACACUGACAGACACACUGACAGACACACUGACAGACACACAGACAGACACACAGACAGACACAUUGACAGACACACUGACAGACAGACACACAGCCCAACACAUUGACAGACAGACACACUGACAGACACACUGACAGGGACUGGGGUACUGACACAAAUAAAAAAAUCUUCAUUUUUCCAAUUUUUCAUUUUUUAUAAAUUCACUCUGUAAAAAUGUUGAAAACAACAACCAUCAGUUCGGAGUUAAACCCUGUGCAGUUAUAGAGAUGAAACAUACGUAUGUUCUGUCAUUUUAAUAUUUUUUAAUACACCUGAAUACUUUAUACACCUUCGUGUGUUUAAGGUCAGUAUGGUUUCGUUUUGUCACUCAGUUCACCUUCGCCUCCAGCUUUACAGGAUUUGCAUGUGAAUUUGCAUAACCAGUAUUUUACCUGUGAACUCCACAGAACAUCCAGCAUCAUGUGUAAAUAUUUUAGACGUGUGUGUUUGUCAGUUAAAAGUUGUGCUGUAAUAAACUGCAUAACAAAA